GACAGAGGGUGCAAACGUUGUUCGGAAUUACUGGGCGUAAAGCGCGUGUAGGCGGCUGCGCAAGUCGGAUGUGAAAUCCCGUGGCUCAACCACGGAAGUGCACCCGAAACUGCGUAGCUUGAGUCUCGGAGAGGAAGGUGGAAUGCUUGGUGUAGAGGUGAAAUUCGUAGAUAUUAGGAAGAACACCAGUGGCGAAGGCGGCUCACUGGUCCGGUACUGACGCUGAGGUGCGAAAGCGUGGGGAGCAAACAGG
rnacentral:rRNA from 1 species